UAUUUGUAUUUUGUGUAGUUUCUAGUGUUUAUUAUAUAUAUAUGUAUAUAUAUAUAUAUAGGGUAGUGUUAAUCUCCUUUUCUCCCCUUAGAUUUAAGUUCCUUCCCAAUUUGGAGCGUUGGAUCAGGCGGAUGGACGAUCCGGAUGACAAGCAUAGAUUUGAUCCCAUAGUUCAUUAUUUGGGGCAUUUCGUGCAUCAUGGGGUUGAAAUAGUAAAUUUCUAUACUCAAAAACUCCCGAAACGGCAUGUGCGAAAUUUCUAUACCCACUACCUUCCCUCUAUUCUACACACCAUUCAUCUCCAAACGUAUUAACUCACAAUCUCUCUACCCGCUUCGUCUCCCCAAUUUCGAACCCCUUUCAAAACCCUAGCCGCCCUCUCUAACCGCUUCGCCUCCAACUCGAUUUCUUGGAAACAACCCUUCCGAUUUUGUGCAAGAUUCGUCUGUGGUCAAAGAGGAGAUUUCAAAAUGUCCAAAAGAGGACGUCCGUCAGUUUCACAACAAUCGCAGAAAGAGGGUGAGAAAUCAAUUUCAUUUGCGUGGUCAUUACUUGAAUGGAUCUGUACAUUAUGUAACUAUUUUUAUGCAUUAUAUAUCCUGUAUCAUGCAUCAUGUGACUGUUGUUGUAUAUGGUCAAAGAGUGAAGGGAAUAUUUGUAUGUGUACUUGAUAUACUCGGUGCAUUAUUUGUUUAUUUGAAUGCAUUAUUUACCAUGUUUUAUACAUAAUGUGACUGUUUUUGUAAAGCCUUCAAAGUGCGAAUGCAAUAUUUAUAUGUGAA